rnacentral:rRNA from 1 species
GAUCAUGGCUCAGGAUGAACGCUAGCUACAGGCUUAACACAUGCAAGUCGAGGGGCAGCAUUUUAGUUUGCUUGCAAACUAAAGAUGGCGACCGGCGCACGGGUGAGUAACACGUAUCCAACCUGCCGAUAACUCUGGGAUAGCCUUUCGAAAGAAAGAUUAAUACCGGAUGGCAUAGGAUUAUCGCAUGAUAAUCCUAUUAAAGAAUUUCGGUUAUCGAUGGGGAUGCGUUCCAUUAGG